rnacentral:rRNA from 1 species
CGGACGGGUGAGUAACACGUGAUAACCUACCUAUAAGACUGGGAUAACUUCGGGAAACCGGAGCUAAUACCGGAUAAUAUUUUGAACCGCAUGGUUCAAAAGUGAAAGACGGUCUUGCUGUCACUUAUAGAUGGAUCCGCGCUGCAUUAGCUAGUUGGUAAGGUAACGGCUUACCAAGGCAACGAUGCAUAGCCGACCUGAGAGGGUGAUCGGCCACACUGGAACUGAGACGCGGUCCAG